GUUUGUUUCCUGUUCAGCAGCAGAGUCACUUCACAGACAUUCAACAGCUUCAUGACGAUUAUUUCUCACCAUCAGAAGCUUCUUACCUGACCACCAGAGGGCGGGCUCUUCUGUUAAACCAGUGGACUCACCUGCAGUGAAGGGCUGUAAAGUGUGAUGCAAACAGCGUCUUGACAGGUGGCGCUCUGCUAUGAAUCAGAUCAAGGACAGUGAAGAGGAAGCUCCGCCCUCUAAAACCACUCUGUGUGAGGAACAUGAGGGUCAGAGGAGGAUCCAUCAACAGAGACCAGACUCUGCCGGACCUGGACCUGGACCUGGACCCAGCUGUGUGUCCAUGAAGAGUGACUGGUCCAUGUAUGAACCUUUGAACUUCAAACAAGAACAGAGGU